GCGACAGACUGGCAUCCUAUCCAGGUUGUCUCACACACAUACACACACACACCACCACCACGCCCUGUGACUGGUGGGAUAGGCUUCAGCCUACCUGUGACCCUUAAUUGGAGUAAAUGGUUGAAGCUGAGUGAGUGAUCUUGGUAAUUCUGUGUUGAUGCUACAACCUCCACUCAGUGGACCAGUUUGUGCAGCAGCACAUUAAGCCAGGAUUCUACAUUUACAUUUACGGCACAGUUAUUACAAUAUAGGGUUUUUGUUUGUUUUUUAAGCUUUGUUUAACUGGGUUAGUCCCAUUGAGAUUAAAAUCUUAUUCAUUAGAGACCUGGCCAAGAACAGCAGCAGUACACAAAGUUUCAGACACAAUGUAAAAUCACAUCAAACAACAGACACCUCAAAAUACAAUUCAGCCAAAGUGCAGGGAAAAAUACAAUAAUAUCAAUCAAAACAUUUCCACAUUUCAAUAGACUCACAUCUAAUGGACUUUACAGUUCCUUUAAAUUCACUGAGUGGAACUAUUCUGUAGUUUGCAGAUCAUUCAGAAAAUAUAAUCGUCUUCUUGCCAAACUCUGUCUCAUAGAAACAGUCAUAAGGACAGUCCUGAGACCCAUAUGGGACACAUUUUUGGGACAGACUGUUACAUGGAUGUUACUGUGUGACCAGUUAAAAACUGAAGCACUCCUCAAGACGUGCACAGUCUCCUUGUUACACAUGGUAGAAAAGAUCUUCCCACAUAAGAAACCAAAAAUAAAGUCACCCAAAGGUGCCCUAGGUCGUGAUGUCUUCAUUGCAUCAUCAGAAGAACGAGUGAGGAGCAGGUGCAUUAAGUCAGUCAUAUCUCACUGUCCAGACUCAGACUGUAAUACAGCCAAAUGAAAUAAUGUGUGGGACACACCUGGAGGUGAUUCAGAAUACAAGGAGGGUUUGCUAAUCUGAAUAAUCUUUGUUACAUAGACACAAGGUUCACCAACAUCACAAAAAAAAAAAAAAAACUUAUUGGAGUGGAGGGGACGUCUCGCUGUCUGUGGCAUGCGUGGACAUCAAGGGCUAAGAUGGUGCCCGUUUUCCUUGUAAGCGAUCACCUCAGCAGGUGGUUUUACUGAAGAGCUCCUCCCUUGAUCCUCUUUGACAUCAUCACCUGCUGAGAUGAUUGGUAGUAAGGAAAACCUGCAGGCUGUUUGCUCUUUGUUGCUUAUACGUGCUGUAAAGUCAUGAAUUAUUAUUUUAUGUUUUUACAACUGAAAUGACUCAGAUUUGCUGCAGAAGUCAGACUUCUGGGGCUGAGCAGUAUCAUGUUGGUUGCACUCUUUUUCUUUGCCUCAGAUUUAAAUGAUUCUCUGAAGCAAAAUUCUUUAUUACGUCGUAGUGAUAACAACAAACGUGUGCAGUCAGGUAAAAUGCAUCUUCUAAUUUAUAUAUUUUGUUGUUUUUUGGGGGGGGGUUGUUUUUUGUUAUUAUUAGUUUUCAUAGGACUGUAAGGCAGGAAGGGGAUAUAGACUUGUGUUCUGUCCAACCAUGUCAGUCGCCCUUUUUUCUACACCUUACUGAAACAAAUUUAUCUGAAUUUAAUCAUGACAUCUCGGAUAAGUGUAUCUGUGACGGGUUUGAGUUGGAGCAUGAUCGGGUUUCACAGGGACCGCCCACUUUACUGAACAGUGUAUUCUCCACAGGGGGAUUAUGGAAUUUUGAGUCCGUCCAUAUGUGCGUUAGUCACACUCUCUUGUUAACACGAUGAACAAAAUUCAUCAGAUUUUCACUAAAUUUGAAGUGAAUGUCUUAAACGAGUGUAUCUGGGAUAAGUUCAGAUUUGAGCUGGUUUUAACUCGAAAUUUUUGACUGAACUGGCUCAUGUGACCAUGUAUCGCCAUAAUAUUCCAUUUCAAAAAAGUUCAUUCUGACUUUGAUGUUUUUGUUUUUUUGUUUGUUUGGUUGUUUUUUUUUUUUUUUUUUUUACUUUUAGUCAGUAUUUUUAACUGAAUUAGCCCAAAAUAUUGUUUGAUUUGACUGUUGGACAUUUUGAGUUUGACUUCACUUGAGGCGGGUAGUUGAAUGUCCUGUUGCAAACCGGCACGAGGUUCGAAGUGAUUGAGUGUACCUUGUUUUUUAUUUUUGUUUUUUAAGAUGUCCAUAAGAAAAAAAACAGCAUAUGGUCAGAUUUGGUGAACAGGUAAAGUGGUUUUAAGAGAUACAUAUUUUUAAAGCUACACUCUGUAGGAUUUAGUGCUGUUUAUUAGUUGAAAUGGAGUAUAGUGUUUAUAACCAUGUGUUCAUUACUGCAUAAUUAUCUGCAACAAUGAAUGGAUACGUUUUCAUAAGCCUCAUAUAAAAAAAAAGCAUCAUAUCCCAUGAACUUUUCAUAUCUACAUGAGAGCGGGCCCACCCAGAGAGGCCGCCAUGUUGAUACAGUAGCCCAAAAGGUACAUGCAGACUCUACCUUUCAUAUUUUGCAGUGCAGAUGGAAAUUUGAAGGGAAAAAAGUGAAAUCAGUGGUUGCUCCUCCUGUAUACUAGCUACUGGUUGCAGGCUAACAAGUUUGAGAAACCUAAUUUUUGAUAAAUGGAGGAUCAUACAAUGGACCAUGAAUCCCUGCUGCCAAAAAGCAUAAGCAUGAAGGGAAACAAAAUCAGUGGUGGCAUAAUGCAAUCUACCACCUCACCAGUAGAUGACAUUGAAUCCUACACACUGUAGCUUUAAAACCAUGUCUUUAGCUUUACUUAAAUUCAGUUGUUGGAAACUAAUGAAGAGCAGUUGGAUUGUGUGAAGUUUGUUGUAGAACUUUCUUUAGGAUUGCUGCCACCCACAUGAGAAGUGAUAAAGAAGGAGCAGUGCCACUGUCCACCUGACAUCGGGGUGAAUGUGAGGCAUUAUUUGUAAAGCGCUUUGAGCGUCUG